rnacentral:rRNA from 1 species
AAAUUGCAGUUGAUANUGUCAGUCUUGAGUACAGUAGAGGUGGGCGGAAUUCGUGGUGUAGCGGUGAAAUGCUUAGAUAUCACGAAGAACUCCGAUUGCGAAGGCAGCUCACUGGACUGCAACUGACACUGAUGCUCGAAAGUGUGGGUAUCAAACAGGAUUAGAUACCCUGGUAGUCCACACAGUAAACGAUGAAUACUCGCUGUUUGCGAUAUACAGUAAGCGGCCAAGCGAAAGCAUUAAGUAUUCCACCUGGGGAGUACGCCGGCAACGGUGAAACUCAAAGGAAUUGACGGGGGCCCGCACAAGCGGAGGAACAUGUGGUUUAAUUCGAUGAUACGCGAGGAACCUUACCCGGGCUUAAAUUGCAGUGGAAUGAUGUGGAAACAUGUCAGUGAGCAAUCACCGCUGUGAAGGUGCUGCAUGGUUGUCGUCAGCUCGUGCCGUGAGGUGUCGGCUUAAGUGCCAUAACGAGCGCAACCCUUAUCUUCAGUUACUAACAGGUCAUGCUGAGGACUCUGGAGAGACUGCCGUCGUAAGAUGUGAGGAAGGUGGGGAUGACGUCAAAUCAGCACGGCCCUUACGUCCGGGGCUACACACGUGUUACAAUGGGGGGUACAGAAGGCAGCUAGCGGGUGACCGUAUGCUAAUCCCAAAAUCCUCUCUCAGUUCGGAUCGAAGUCUGCAACCCGACUUCGUGAAGCUGGAUUCGCUAGUAAUCGCGCAUCAGCCACGGCGCGGUGAAUACGUUCCCGGGCCUUGUACACACCGCCCGUCAAGCCAUGGGAGCCGGGGGUACCUGAAGUACGUAACCGCAAGGAUCGUCCUAGGGUAAAACUGGUGACUGGGGCUAAGUCGUAACAAGGUAACCA